rnacentral:misc_RNA from 1 species
GAUGAAGAAGCAGCGAAAUGCGAUAAGUAAUGUGAAUUGCAGAAUUCAGUGAAUCAUCGAAUCUUUGAACGCACAUUGCGCCCCUUGGUAUUCCGAGGGGCAUGCCUGUUCGAGCGUCAUUACACCACUCAAGCUAUGCUUGGUAUUGGGCGUCGUCCUUAGUUGGGCGCGCCUUAAAGACCUCGGCGAGGCCACUCCGGCUUUAGGCGUAGUAGAAUUUAUUCGAACGUCUGUCAAAGGAGAGGAACUCUGCCGACUGAAACCUUUAUUUUUCUAGGUUGACCUCGGAUCAGGUAGGGAUACCCGCUGAACUUAAGCAUAUCAAAAAGCGGAGGA